rnacentral:rRNA from 1 species
UACAGGGGGUGCAAACGUUGCUCGGAAUCAUUGGGCGUAAAGCGCACGUAGGCGGUUCGUUAUGUCGGAUGUGAAAGCCCUUGGCUUAACCGAGGAAGUGCAUCCGAAACUGGCGAGCUAGAGUACUAAAGAGGAUCGCGGAAUUCCCGGUGUAGAGGUGAAAUUCGUAGAUAUCGGGAGGAACACCGGUGGCGAAGGCGGCUCUCUGGGACGGUACUGACGCUGAGACGCGAAAGCGUGGGGAGUGAACAGG